rnacentral:rRNA from 1 species
GUGUCAGCCGCCGCGGUAAUACAGAGGGCGCGAGCGUUGUCCGGAAUCACUGGGCGUAAAGGGCGCGUAGGUGGCCACUAUAAGGCCGCGGUGAAAGUUCGGGGCUCAACCCUGAAUCGGCCGCGGCGACUGUAGGGCUUGGGCACUGUAGAGGCAGAUGGAAUUCCGGGUGUAGCGGUGGAAUGCGUAGAGAUCCGGAAGAACACCGGUGGCGAAGGCGGUCUGCUGGGCAGUGGCUCGCAAGGGCCAAUAGCCGACACUGAGGCGCGACAGCGUGGGGAGCAAACAGGAUUAGAUACCCGUGUAGUCC